GAAAUGCGAUACUUGGUGUGAAUUGCAGAAUCCCGUGAACCAUCGAGUCUUUGAACGCACAUUGCGCCCCUUGGUAUUCCAUGGGGCAUGCCUGUUCGAGCGUCAUUUGUACCCUCAAGCUUUGCUUGGUGUUGGGUGUUUGUCUUCCCUGGAGGACUCGCCUUAAAACAAUUGGCAGCCGGCCUAUUGGUAUCGGAGCGCAGCACAAGUCGCACUUCUUUCCAUCAAGGUUGGCAUCCAUCAAGACCAUUUUUUCACUCUUGACCUCGGAUCAGGUAGGGAUACCCGCUGAACUUAA
rnacentral:misc_RNA from 1 species